rnacentral:rRNA from 1 species
UUCCGGUUGAUCCUGCCGGAGGCUACCGCUAUUGGAGUUCGAUUAAGCCAUGCGAGUCGCGAGAAAUUAGAUUCUCGGCGUACCGCUCAGUAACACGUGGGUAACCUGCCCUAUGCUGGAUAAUAACCUCGGGAAACUGAGAAUAAUGAUCCAUAGUUCACUACGCCUGGAACGGUGAGUGGAUGAAAGCUCCGGCGGCAUAGGAUGGGCCUGCGGCGUAUCAGGUUGUAGGGGGUGUAACGUACCCUCUAGCCCUCUACGCGUACGGGUGUUGGGAGACAUAGCCCGGAGAUGGAUUCUGAGACACGAAUCCAGACCCUACGGGGUGCAGCAGGCGCGAAAACUUGGCAAUGCGAGAAAUCGUGACCAGGGAACUCCAAGUGCAUCGGGUAAGACCGGUGCUUUUCUUGACUCUAAAUAGGUCUUGGAAUAAGGGGUGGGUAAGGACGGUGCCAGCCGCCGCGGUAAUACCGGCGCCUCAAGUGGUAGUCGCUUUUAUUGGGCCUAAAACGUCCGUAGCCGGUCUGAUACAUUCGUGGGUAAAUCAACCAGCUCAACUGGUUGAAUUCUGCGAGGACGGUCAGACUUGGGACCGGGAGAGGUGUGGGGUACGCUCAGGGUAGGGGUAAAAUCCUGUCAUCCUGAGCGGACCACCUGUUGCGAAGGCGCCACACUAGAACGGAUCCGACGGUCAGGGACGAAGCCUAGGGGCACGAACCGGAUUAGAUACCCGGGUAGUCCUAGGUGUAAACGCUGUGGACUUGAUGUUGGGGGUGCUCCGAGCACUCUCAGUGUCGAAGCGAAGGUGAUAAGUCCACUGCCUGGGAAGUACGGUCGCAAGGCUGAAACUUAAAGGAAUCGGCGGGGGAGCACCGCAACCUGAGGAUUGUGCGGUUUAAUUGGAUUCAACGCCGGA